rnacentral:rRNA from 1 species
ACGAACGCUGGCGGCGUGCCUAAUACAUGCCAGUAGAACGCUGAAGGAGGAGCUUGCUUCUCUGGAUGAGUUGCGAACGGGUGAGUAACGCGUAGGUAACCUGCCUGGUAGCGGGGGAUAACUAUUGGAAACGAUAGCUAAUACCGCAUAAUAGUAGAUGUCGCAUGACAUUUGCUUAAAAGGUGCAAUUGCAUCACUACCAGAUGGACCUGCGUUGUAUUAGCUAGUUGGUGAGGUAACGGCUCACCAAGGCAACGAUACAUAGCCGACCUGAGAGGGUGAUCGGCCACACUGGGACUGAGACACGGCCCAGACUCCUACGGGAGGCAGCAGUAGGGAAUCUUCGGCAAUGGACGGAAGUCUGACCGAGCAACGCCGCGUGAGUGAAGAAGGUUUUCGGAUCGUAAAGCUCUGUUGUAAGAGAAGAACGAGUGUGAGAGUGGAAAGUUCACACUGUGACGGUAUCUUACCAGAAAGGGACGGCUAACUACGUG